GACGUAGGGCGCGAGCGUUUGUCCGGAUUUAUUGGGCGUAAAGAGCUCGUAGGCGGCUUGUCGCGUCGAAUGUGAAAACUCGGGGCUCAACUCCGAGCUUGCAUUCGAUACGGGCAGGCUAGAGUUCGGUAGGGGGAGACUGGAAUUCCUGGUGUAGCGGUGAAAUGCGCAGAUAUCAGGAGGAACACCGGUGGCGAAGGCGGUUCUCUGGGCAUUACCUGACGCUGAGGAGCGAAAGUGUGGGGAGCGAACAGG
rnacentral:rRNA from 1 species